AUGAAUAAAGUUGAACUAUCAGUUGUGAAAUCCUUACAGGUAUAAAAUAAGCUGAAGAGGACUGGUUUCCUCCUAGAAAAAGUGUUUGGUUUGUCUCCACAUUUCUGAGGUCAACACAGAAUUGUGUUCAUAAUUGUCCCUAACGGUAUUUCUUUUUGACUCCCAGGUAGUUGCAGUCUUUGAGGAUAGCUACCGCCUCCAGAGGACACUUCUGCCAAAACAGAUAUGUAAAUUGCCAUGGCUUGGAGACUGCAGCGCUGGAGCCUGGCCUCCCUCUGGAGUUGGCUGUUCCUCCUGCUCAGCCGAGAGUCUGGAUCUGUUACUUCAGUGCUUCUUUUAAGUGUUGGGACUGAUUCUUGAGCCAUCCUCUGAGAGCCGUCUCAAUUUGGGAAAGUGGCACCCACCUCUGCCCAGGGCCGUGACUGAGCUCCCAACCUCAGAUUCCACAGCAGAGAGAACAGCUUAUUCGCUUAUUCAGUGAUGAAGCCAUUUUGAAACCAGAACCUGGGAGCAAAGGACCAGCAGAUGCCAGCCACGUGCCUUCCCACGUGACAGAGGAACUCCAGAUGCCAUCGGCCUUUCCUCAGUGAAGGCAUCCUCUUG